UACGGGGGGAGCAAGCGUUGUUCGGAUUUACUGGGCGUAAAGGGCGCGUAGGCGGUCAGCACAAGUCAGUUGUGAAAUCUCCGAGCUUAACUCGGAAAGGUCAACUGAUACUGUGCGACUAGAGUGCGGAAGGGGCAACUGGAAUUCUUGGUGUAGCGGUGAAAUGCGUAGAUAUCAAGAGGAACACCUGCGGCGAAGGCGGGUGCUGGCCG
rnacentral:rRNA from 1 species